GACAGCAGCAGCCACGGUAAUACGGAGGGUGCAAGCGUUAUCCGGAUUUAUUGGGUUUAAAGGGUCCGUAGGCGGAUCUGUAAGUCAGUGGUGAAAUCUCACAGCUUAACUGUGAAACUGCCAUUGAUACUGCAGGUCUUGAGUAAAUUUGAAGUGGCUGGAAUAAGUAGUGUAGCGGUGAAAUGCAUAGAUAUUACUUAGAACACCAAUUGCGAAGGCAGGUCACUAAGAUUUAACUGACGCUGAUGGACGAAAGCGUGGGGAGCGAACAGGAUUAGAUACCCCAGUAGUCCCUGUCUCUUAUAC
rnacentral:rRNA from 1 species